rnacentral:rRNA from 1 species
CACGUAGGGGGCGAGCGUUGUCCGGAUUUAUUGGGCGUAAAGGGCUCGUAGGCGGUUUGUCGCGUCGGGAGUGAAAACCCAGGGCUUAACCCUGGGCUGGCUUCCGAUACGGGCAGACUAGAGGUAUGCAGGGGAGAACGGAAUUCCUGGUGUAGCGGCGAAAUGCGCAGAUAUCAGGAGGAACACCGGUGGCGAAGGCGGUCCUCUGGGCAUUACCUGACGCUGAGGAGCGAAAGUGUGGGGAGCGAACAGG